rnacentral:rRNA from 1 species
AAUAAAGUUUUCUUUAUUGGGGUUGCGGACAUAUCAUAACGGAGAGGUAUCGUAAUUGAAGAGGUUUGGAAAGACCCACCACAGAAGGUAAUAGUCCUGUAUGUUAAACGAGAAGACUUCAGAUAUGAUCCAGAGUACCACGGGACACGUGAAACCCUGUGGGAAGCAGGAGGGACCACCCUCCAAGGCUAAAUACUACCUAGUGACCGAUAGCGUAUAGUACCGUGAGGGAAAGGUGAAAAGAACCCCGGGAGGGGAGUGAAAUAGAACCUGAAACCCUGCACUUACAAGCUGUGGAAGCACAUUUCUUGUGUGACCGCGUACUUUUUGUAGAACGGGCCAACGAGUUACGUUAAGUAGCAAGGUUAAGCACUUAAGGUGUGGAGCCGUAGCGAAAGCGAGUUUUAACUGAGCGUUCAGUUACUUGACGUAGACCCGAAACCGGGCGACCUACCCAUGAGCAGGAUGAAGCGAAAGUAAAAUUUCGUGGAGGUCCGAACCCACGAGCGUUGAAAAGCUCGGGGAUGACUUGUGGGUAGCGGUGAAAUUCCAAUCGAGCCCGGAGAUAGCUGGUUCUCCCCGAAAUAGCUUUAGGGCUAGCCUCAAGGUGAGAGAUACGGAGGUAGAGCACUGAAUGUCCUAGGGGGUAUUGCACCUACCGAAGACUAUCAAACUCCGAAUGCCGUCAUCUUAUACUUGGGAGUCAGACUGUGGGUGAUAAGAUUCAUAGUCGAAAGGGCAACAGCCCAGAUCGUCAGCUAAGGUCCCUAAAUGUAAGUUAAGUGGUAAAGGAUGUGGGAUUGCACAGACAACCAGGAUGUUGGCUUAGAAGCAGCCACUCAUUCAAAGAGUGCGUAAUAGCUCACUGGUCGAGUGAUCCUGCGCCGAAGAUUUCCGGGGCUAAAACUUACUACCGAAGCUACGGCAUCAGUAAUGAUGGGUAGGGGAGCUUCCCAUACGGGUUGAAGCAUGACCGUAAGGACAUGUGGACAGUAUGGGAGUGAGAAUGUUGGCAUGAGUAGCGAGAUGUGGGUGAGAAUCCCACAGGCCGUAAACCCAAGGUUUCCAGGGGAAGGUUCGUCCGCCCUGGGUUAGUCGGGACCUAAGCUGAGGCCGAAAGGCGUAGGUGAUGGACAACAGGUUGAUAUUCCUGUACUACCGAUAACCGUUUGAGAGAAGGGAUGACACAGUAGGAUAAGCUAAGCACACUGUUGGUUAUGUGUGCCCAAGCAUUGAGGCAGUCAAAGUAGGCAAAUCCGCUUUGAUAAUGCUGGGAUGUGAUGGGGAGCGAAAUUUAGUAGCGAAGUAGCUGAUUUCACACUGUCAAGAAAAGUCUCUAUCGAGGUUAAAGGUACCCGUACCGCAAACCGACACAGGUGGGUGAGGAGAGUAUCCUAAGGCCAGCGAGAGAACUGUUGUUAAGGAACUCGGCAAAAUGACCCCGUAACUUAGGGAUAAGGGGUGCCACCAUCAGGUGGCCGCAGAGAAUAGGCCCAAGCGACUGUUUACCAAAAACAUAGGUUUCUGCUAAGUCGCAAGACGAUGUAUAGGAGCUGACGCCUGCCCGGUGCUGGAA